rnacentral:miRNA from 1 species
GAAGUGCGUCCUCUCUCGAGCGU